AGCCCAUUCAAACUGAAGCCAAUUUCAUUUAUGAAUCUCUCUAUCUCCAAUGCUUCUCUCUUCAGUUCCCAUACAACCGUCCACCACUGCCACCGGUAUUGUCCAAUUAGUUGUGUUCAUUCCCACUCACCUCCUAUACUGACCAAUAGUGGCAAAGAAGAGAAUGUAAAUUUUCUUGGGCUAAGGAAGAAAACACCAAAAAUGUUAGUCUCCCAUUUAAAAAGCAACAAUGCUAUAUGUUACGAGUUACGACUUACGAAUUAGAGACCGCCCCAAAUAAACAGAGUUAACACAUCACAGCAGGCAAGCGCCGCCGCCGCCACCCUCCACUCUCUCACGCCUAAACCCUUGAUUCCUCCGUCCUCCUCAUCCGCUCCCAGCUCUAACCAAAGCUUUCUUCUUCCUCAAUUUCAACCUUGACGCCGCUGUUUCAACCUCCUUAUUCUAAUGGUUGGUUUCAUGCAUUUCAGACAGAUUUCUUCAAGAACCUAAUACAGGGAAAGUCAGUUUGAUAACUCUACGAGUGUUGAUUCUGCAUCUGAUUUCUUUUUACAAAGGUUGUGAAUGUGAUACUUGGCUGGGCUAUGAGGUUCCUUCACACAGCAUGCUCUCAAAGAUUUCUAAAAUUGUUGGAACAAUACAAGCAAUCUUCACUGUACCAUGUCCCCAUCUAUUUGGGAAAAAAUGUAUACAUGUAUACACUCCUGAUCAGGCAGUCAAUGACCAUUUGAGCUAAGUCUUCUAUACAUAAUUUCUUGACUGCAAAAUCUCUAUUUGUUUGAAAAUGAUUAUGAUGGUUAAACUUCCUCUUUAUACUCAAAUGCAUUUUUGUCCUCGCUGUUGUCAUGAGAUCUUUUGUGUUUGGACUUUUGAUUAGAAUUGUACCUAUUACGAUAAAAUGUUUUUCUAACUAAACUUAAUAUUCUUACUCUUCACCAAUCUUUAUAAGCAUAUAUCCGUUUUAUGCAGGUCCAAAAUGGUAGUUUUUAAAUUUUCACUGAAUGAUAGUAUAAGUUGCACUCAUUUUGCCUCUUUUAUCUUUAUCUUUUGUUCAGCAUCAAAGAAAUUUGGAUGUUGGAGAAGACUUCCAUUGUCAAUCUACAUUGUGAAGACUCAAUAUCUAAAUAAUAUUCCGAAAAAUCUACUUCAAGCAAUGUCUAUGAGGAUGUCCAUGUCUACUUUUACCUUCAUGUUCUUAUUAUUAUUUUGGUGGUAAUCUUACUCCCAAUGUAUAUUUAUGCAGUUCUUUUUGAAUGAUCUACUUACCCUGGCCAGCUUACCGAUCAUCAAGGUCAAGUACAAAAGAUUGGGAUAAGCUGGAAGCAAUGGUGAAAAAAGAGGUUUUGCAGCUGAAGUGUGAAAUUGUUUUAUUAUGCCUUUGUAAUUUGACUUGGUAAGAAGCAUAAUGAUUACUUAAGUCUGAAUGCUUAAGUCACACUAGGCGGAGAGAAUUUUCCGGAGUUUUCAUCAUGAGGUGUUGUUUUAGGUUUAGGGAUUUCAUGAGGCUCACAGAUUGGAGAUCUUGCUUCUGAAAUCUUCCAAUGGGGUUUUGAGCCUUUUUUUGUGGCAUCAGUACUCAAAAUCUUCUUCUCCUACAAUUUUCGCUCAUGUAUAACUUGAUGGUAUAUAGUUGUCUAUGCCACCAAGAACCCCACUUCCUAAUCAUCUUCACUAUUAUGCUUUUUGUGGAAGACUUCAAGAGUUACGCCUCUCUGAUUUCCGUGAUGAUUGGGAGUACUCGAUGUUUCUUUGUUCAGAGUCUAGAAAAGUUCAAAGAAUAAAGGGAACUAUUUAUGCUGUGCACAUGGUUUAACAUUGCAGUAAAGGAGUCUUUGUUGGAUGGCAGAAGCUGAAGUUGGAGCUGGAUUUCAAUUGUAUUUGUACUGAUUCCAAGAAUAAAUUAGAUCAUUUAGUCAGAUUUUUGUAAAAUAAUUGUGUAGUGAAUUGUGUUUUGAUUGAUGUUUCUAUUUAGAAAAUUCAUUUUCCCAAA